AAAACUUACCAGGUCAAGACAUGGGCGUGAUUGACAGGCUAAUGACUUUUCUCGAUUCCAUGGAUGGUGGUGCAUGGUCGCACUUAGUUGGUGCAGUGAUUUGUCAGGUUUAUUCCGGUAACGAACGAGACCUCGGCCUUGUAAAUAGCUAUGCUGCUUACAGGGACAUUGGCGGCUACGCCAAGGAAGCUCGAGGCAAUUGCAGAUCUGGAAUGCCCUUAGAUGUCCUGGGUCGCACGCGUGCUACAAUGACGCCACGAACGAGCUUGCGUGAUGAAAGUUACGCAUAAUCAGCAGUCGGCGUCUUAAGGGAUAGUCUCUUGUAACUGUGGGACUCCAACUAGGAAUGUCUCGUAAGCACAAGUCAACAUCUUGUGUUGAUUACGUCCCUGCUCUUUGUACACACCGCCCGUCGCUCCUACCGAUCGAGUGUUUAGGUGAAUUUGAUGGACGUAAGGAAGUCAAAUAAACCUGAGCACUAGAGAAGAGAAGUCGAUAGC
rnacentral:rRNA from 1 species